AUUGAACGCUGGCGGCAUGCCUAACACAUGCAAGUCGAGCGAGCGGCGAACGGGUGAGUACUGUCUGGGGAUCUGCCCGAUAGAGAGGGAUAACUACUGGAAACGGUUUCUAAUCCCGCAUACUAUCCGAUGUACCCUGUUGGGAUUAGCUAGUAGGUAAGGUAAUGGCUGACCUAGGCAACGAGCCCUAGCUCGUCUGAGAGGAUGAUCAGCCACACUGGGACUGAGACACGGCCCAGACGCCUACGGGAGGCAGCAGUGGGGAAUAUUGCACAAUGGGCGAAAGCCUGAUGCAGCAAUGCCGCGUGAAUGAAGAAGGCCUUCGGGUGGUAAAGUACUUUCAGGAGGGAGGCGUUAUCGAAAGAAGAAGCACCGGCUAACUCCGUGCCAGCAGCCGCGGUAAUUC
rnacentral:rRNA from 1 species